UACGUAGGGUGCGAGCGUUGUCCGGAAUUAUUGGGCGUAAAGGGCUCGUAGGCGGUUUGUCGCGUCGGGAGUGAAAUCCACUGGCUUAACUGGUGGCUUGCUUUCGAUACGGGCAGACUGGAGGCAUGCAGGGGGAGAACGGAAUUCCUGGUGUAGCGGUGAAAUGCGUAGAUAUCUGGAAGAACACCGGUGGCGCAAGCGGAUUGCUGGGCCAUAACUGACACUGAGGAACGAAAAGUGUGGGGAGCGAACAGG
rnacentral:rRNA from 1 species